rnacentral:rRNA from 1 species
GAUUAACGCUAGCGGGAGGCCUAAUACAUGCAAGUCGAGGGGCAGCACGAGUAGCAAUACUUGGUGGCGACCGGCGCACGGGUGAGUAACGCGUACGCAAUCUACCUAUAACUGGUGAAUAGCCCGGGGAAACUCGGAUUAAUACACCAUAAUAUAUAGAGUUCGCAUGAACUUUAUAUUAAAGCUCCGGCGGUUAUAGAUGAGCGUGCGUCUGAUUAGCUAGUUGGUGAGGUAACGGCUCACCAAGGCUACGAUCAGUAGCUGGUCUGAGAGGAUGAUCAGCCACACUGGGACUGAGACACGGCCCAGACUCCUACGGGAGGCAGCAGUAGGGAAUAUUGGACAAUGGGCGCAAGCCUGAUCCAGCCAUCCCGCGUGCAGGAUUAAGGCCCUAUGGGUUGUAAACUGCUUUUAUCAGGGAAGAAACCGGGGGAUUUAUCCCCCGUUGACGGUACCUGAGGAAUAAAGCACCGGCUAACUCCGUGCCAGCAGCCGCGGUAAU